rnacentral:rRNA from 1 species
AGUGAACGCUGGCGGUAGGCCUAACACAUGCAAGUCGAACGGCAGCACAGUAAGAGCUUGCUCUUACGGGUGGCGAGUGGCGGACGGGUGAGGAAUACAUCGGAAUCUACUUUUUCGUGGGGGAUAACGUAGGGAAACUUACGCUAAUACCGCAUACGACCUACGGGUGAAAGCAGGGGAUCUUCGGACCUUGCGCGAUUGAAUGAGCCGAUGUCGGAUUAGCUAGUUGGCGGGGUAAAGGCCCACCAAGGCGACGAUCCGUAGCCGGUCUGAGAGGAUGAUCAGCCACACUGGAACUGAGACACGGUCCAGACUCCUACGGGAGGCAGCAGUGGGGAAUAUUGGACAAUGGGCGCAAGCCUGAUCCAGCCAUACCGCGUGGGUGAAGAAGGCCUUCGGGUUGUAAAGCCCUUUUGUUGGGAAAGAAAAGCAGCAGGUUAAUACCCCGCUGUUCUGACGGUACCCAAAGAAUAAGCAACGGCUAACUUCGUG